rnacentral:rRNA from 1 species
UGGGGGAAUUUUUGGACAAUGGGCGAAAAGCCCUGAUCCCAGCCAUGCCGCGUGUGUGAAGAAGGCCUUCGGGUUGUAAAGCACUUUUCAGCGAGGAGGAAGGUGGUGAACUUAAUACGUUCAUCAAUUGACGUUACUCGCAGAAGAAGCACCGGCUAACUCCGUGCCAGCAGCCGCGGUAAUACGGAGGGUGCAAGCGUUAAUCGGAAUUACUGGGCGUAAAGCGCACGCAGGCGGUUUGUUAAGUCAGAUGUGAAAUCCCCGGGCUCAACCUGGGAACUGCAUUUGAAAACUGGCAAGCUAGAGUCUCGUAGAGGGGGGUAGAAUUCCAGGUGUAGCGGUGAAAUGCGUAGAGAUCUGGAGGAAUACCGGUGGCGAAGGCGGCCCCCCUGGACGAAGACUGACGCUCAGGUGCGAAAAGCGUGGGGAGCAAACAGGUUAGAUACCCUGGUAGUCAGCGCUGUAAAACGAUGUCGAUUUUGGAGGUUGUGCCCUUGAGGCGUGGCUUCCGGAGCUAACGCGUUAAAUCGACCG